rnacentral:ncRNA from 1 species
CCAACCGUUUAAUUCGAUAAUCCACGAAAAAUCUUACCGCAGUUUGAAUAAAUUAAAAAGUGAAAAUUUUUAUAUCUACAGGAGUUGCACGGCUGUUUCCAGUUAAUAUUGUGAAAUAAAUUUAUAAAUUAACGAAAUCCCUCGCUUUAUUUUUAAUAAUACUCUAGGGUAUUGGGUAUUUAGAUAAAUAGACGAUAUUAUUGUAAAUUUUGAUAAAUAUCCAGUUUAUACAUAUGUAUAAAUUUAAAUAAGGUUACACUGUAAAAGGGAACAAGACAAGUCAUCAUGGCCCUAAUAUUGCGGGCUAUAUGACGUGCCACGUAUAUCUAUACAAAAAGAUGCAAAAAUGUGAGUUUGAGCUAAUCUUUAAAUUAGAAUAUAAACAUAUGGAUUGUAGUCUGAAAUUCGACUAUAUGAAUAAGUAAUUGCUAGUAAUCGCGAAUCACCAUGCCGCGGUGAAU